rnacentral:rRNA from 1 species
GUAAGUUUGAUAGUAAUGUUGUGUGAGGGAUGAAGGUUUUUGGGUUGUAAAUUUUUUUUUUUAAGGAAGAAGAAUUGAUGGUAUUUGAGGAAUAAGUUAUGGUUAAUUUUGUGUUAGUAGUUGUGGUAAUAUGGGAGUGGUAAGUGUUAUUUGGAAUUAUUGGGUGUAAAGUGUCCGUAGGUGGUUUUGAAAGUUUGUUGUUAAAGUGUGGAGUUUAAUUUUAUUUUAGCAAUGGAAAUUAGAAGAUUAGAGUGUGGUAGGGGUAGAGGGAAUUUUUGGUGUAGUGGUGAAAUGUGUAGAUAUUGGGAAGAAUAUUAGUGGUGAAGGUGUUUUGUUGGGUUAUAAUUGAUGUUUAUGGAUGAAAGUUAGGGGAGUGAAAGGGAUUAGAUAUUUUUGUAGUUUUGGUUGUAAAUGAUGAAUAUUAGGUGUUG